rnacentral:rRNA from 1 species
UACGUAGGUGGCAAGCGUUGUCCGGAAUUAUUGGGCGGAAAGCGCGCGCAGGCGGUCCUUUAAGUCUGAUGUGAAAGCCCACGGCUCAACCGUGGAGGGUCAUUGGAAACUGGGGGACUUGAGUGCAGAAGAGGAGAGUGGAAUUCCACGUGUAGCGGUGAAAUGCGUAGAGAUGUGGAGGAACACCAGUGGCGAAGGCGACUCUCUGGUCUGUAACUGACGCUGAGGCGCGAAAGCGUGGGGAGCAAACAGG